rfam:Asian citrus Psyllid, Diaphorina citri - Florida Strain, whole genome shotgun sequence.
UAGAGCGGCGAUAGCACGUUCAGUACACCAGUUCUCAAUAGAUCACUACUGAAGCUAAGCAACGUUGGGCGUGGUUAGUAUCCGGAUGGGUGACCAUGUGGACAAUUGAGUGCUGCUGGCU